rnacentral:rRNA from 1 species
UACGAACCGUCCAAACGUUGUUCGGAAUCACUGGGCUUAAAGGGCGCGUAGGCGGACUGCCAAGUCCGGGGUGAAAUCUUUCGGCUUAACCGGAAAAGGGCCUUGGAAACUGGCGGUCUCGAGGGAGGUAGGGGCGUGUGGAACUUCGGGUGGAGCGGUGAAAUGCGUUGAUAUCCGAAGGAACGCCGGUGGCGAAAGCGACGGGCUGGAUCUAUUCUGACGCUGAGGCGCGAAAGCCAGGGGAGCAAACGGG